CCAUCGAGCGGCCUGUGUAAGUAUACAUUUUUUACACAUACACAUAAACAUAUUUUUAUACGUAUUUUUUUUUAUAUAUGUUAUUAAAUAUUCGUUUUAUUUUUCAGAAAUCCGGGUCGCACCACAAAAGCAGCUCGGCGUCAAUUAAUCCCUUCGUCCUCUCGACUUCUUCGCGAUGACGAGAUUGUGGACUUGCUCAAUUACGAAAAGUCGGAGGAAGAAGUUAUGCAGCCGCCGCUGGUGCCCCACUCGACCAGGAAGUGGUUAGACGAACUACCAAAAAACAAGAUGCAAAAAGUUCUAAAAAGCAGUUAGUUGCUUGAAGAAAAUGACCUGAUGAAUUGUUUAAGAUCCUUUGUCCUGAGAAUAUAGAUAAACAAACACCCUAA